GCUGUCGUCAGCUCGUGUCGUGAGAUGUUGGGUUAAGUCCCGCAACGAGCGCAACCCCCUUUCUUAGUUGCUAACAGGUUAUGCUGAGAACUCUAAGGAUACUGCCUCCGUAAGGAGGAGGAAGGUGGGGACGACGUCAAGUCAUCAUGGCCCUUACGCCUAGGGCUACACACGUGCUACAAUGGGGUGCACAAAGAGAAGCAAUACUGCGAAGUGGAGCCAAUCUUCAAAACAUCUCUCAGUUCGGAUUGUAGGCUGGAAC
rnacentral:rRNA from 1 species